AUUGAACGCUGGCGGCAUGCUUUACACAUGCAAGUCGAACGGCAACAGGCCGCAAGGUGCUGACGAGUGGCGAACGGGUGAGCAAUGCAUCGGAACGUGCCCAGUCGUGGGGGAUAACGCAGCGAAAGCUGCGCUAAUACCGCAUACGAUCUAUGGAUGAAAGCGGGGGACCGUAAGGCCUCGCGCGAUUGGAGCGGCCGAUGUCAGAUUAGGUAGUUGGUGGGGUAAAGGCUCACCAAGCCAACGAUCUGUAGCCGGUCUGAGAGGACGACCAGCCACACUGGGACUGAGACACGGCCCAGACUGCUACGGGAGGCAGCAGUGGGGAAUUUUGGACAAUGGGCGCAAGCCUGAUCCAGCAAUGCCGCGUGCAGGAAGAAGGCCUUCGGGUUGUAAACUGCUUUUGUACGGAACGAAACGGUCCUGGUUAAUACCUGGGGCUAAUGACGGUACCGUAAGAAUAAGCACCGGCUAACUACGUGCCAGCAGCCGCGGUAAUAC
rnacentral:rRNA from 1 species